AUUGAACGCUGGCGGCAGGCUUAACACAUGCAAGUCGAGCGAGCAGCAGACGGGUGAGUAAUGUCUGGGAAACUGCCUGAUGGAGUGGGAUAACUACUGGAAACUGUAGCUAAUACCGCAUACCAUUAGAUGUGCCCAUAUGGGAUGAGCAAGGAGGGGGGGUAAUGGCUCACCUAGGCGACGAUCCCUAGGUGGUCUGAGAGGAUGACAAGCCACACUGGAACUUAGACACGGUCCAGAGUCAUACGGGAGGCAGCAGUGGGGAAUAGUGCACAAUGGGCGCAAGUCUGAUGCAGCCAUGCCGCGUGUGUGAAGAAGGCCUUCGGGUUGUAAAGCACUUUCAGCGAGGAGGCGUUACUCGCAGAAGAAGCACCGGCUAACUCCGUGACAGCAGCCGCGGUAAUUC
rnacentral:rRNA from 1 species